rnacentral:rRNA from 1 species
UACGAGGGGUCCAAGCGUUGUCCGGAGUUACUGGGCGUAAAGGGUGCGUAGGAGGUUGUAUUAGUCUUCAUUUAAAUUCCGGGGCCCAACUCCGGAGCUGGUGGGGAAACGGGUACAACUGGAAGGGCGCGAGAGGCAGAUGGAACUCAUGGUGGAGGGGUGAAAUCCGUUGAUAUCAUGGGGAACACCAAAGGCGGAAGGCAGUCUGCUGGACGCGUACC